rnacentral:rRNA from 1 species
AUACGGAGGGGGCAAGCGUUGUUCGGAAUUACUGGGCGUAAAGGGCGCGUAGGCGGCCAAGUCAGUCAGGCGUGAAAGCCCCGGGCUCAACCUGGGAAUUGCGUUCGAAACUGAGUAGCUAGAGUCUGAUAGAGGGAAGUGGAAUUCCGGGUGUAGCGGUGAAAUGCGUAGAUAUCCGGAGGAACACCAGUGGCGAAGGCGGCUUCCUGGAUCAAGACUGACGCUGAGGCUCGAAAGCGUGGGGAGCAAACAGGAUUAGAAACCCCGGUAGUCC